AACAAGGCGUACCUGCGGACCUGCGGAAGGAUCAUUCGCAAAGAUUGCCAAUAAUUUUAUAUUUAUUAUGAUAAAUUUUUAUAUUUAUUAUAAUUAUUUGUUGAGGGCUGUCGCUCACCUGAGAAUAUAUUGUCUUUGUUGGCUUUAGUAUCAAUCAAAGCAGUAAAAGGUGGGGGCACCUUGGGUAUAUUGGACUGAUGUUCCAAAUCCCAAAAUUUAUGUGUACCGUAAUCAGUUGGA
rnacentral:misc_RNA from 1 species